AGCGAACGCUGGCGGCAGGCCUAACACAUGCAAGUCGAACGAACCUUUCGGGGUUAGUGGCGGACGGGUGAGUAACACGUGGGAACGUGCCUUUAGGUUCGGAAUAACUCAGGGAAACUUGUGCUAAUACCGAAUGUGCCCUUCGGGGGAAAGAUUUAUCGCCUUUAGAGCGGCCCGCGUCUGAUUAGCUAGUUGGUUGAGGUAAUGGCUCACCAAGGCGACGAUCAGUAGCUGGUCUGAGAGGAUGAUCAGCCACAUUGGGACUGAGACACGGCCCAAACUCCUACGGGAGGCAGCAGUGGGGAAUCUUGCGCAAUGGGCGAAAGCCUGAAGCAGCCAUGCCGCGUGAAUGAUGAAGGUCUUAGGAUUGUAAAAUUCUUUCACCGGGGACGAUAAUGACGGUACCCGGAGAAGAAGCCCCGGCUAACUUCGUG
rnacentral:rRNA from 1 species